rnacentral:tRNA from 1 species
AGUAGGGUAAGCUAAAACAAGCUGUUGGGCUCAUAACCCAAAAAUAGACACACUCUCCCUUCUA